rnacentral:rRNA from 1 species
GAGUAACACGUGGGCAACCUGCCUGUAAGACUGGGAUAACUUCGGGAAACCGAAGCUAAUACCGGAUAGGAUCUUCUCCUUCAUGGGAGAUGAUUGAAAGAUGGUUUCGGCUAUCACUUACAGAUGGGCCCGCGGUGCAUUAGCUAGUUGGUGAGGUAACGGCUCACCAAGGCAACGAUGCAUAGCCGACCUGAGAGGGUGAUCGGCCACACUGGGACUGAGAUACGGCCCAGACUCCUACGGGAGGCAGCAGUAGGGAAUCUUCCGCAAUGGACGAAAGUCUGACGGAGCAACGCCGCGUGAGUGAUGAAGGCUUUCGGGUCGUAAAACUCUGUUGUUAGGGAAGAACAAGUACAAGAGUAAACUGCUUGUACCUUGACGGUACCUAACCAGAAAGCCCACGGCUAACUACGUGCCAGCAGCCGCGGUAAAUACGUAGGUGGCAAGCGUUAUCCGGGAAUUAUUGGGGCGUAAGCGCGCGCAGGCGGUUUCUUAAGUCUGAUGUGAAAGCCCACGGCUCAACCGUGGAGGGUCAUUGGAAACUGGGGAACUUGAGUGCAGAAGAGAAAAGCGGAAUUCCACGUGUAGCGGUGAAAUGCGUAGAGAUGUGGAGGAACACCAGUGGCGAAGGCGGCUUUUUGGUCUGUAACUGACGCUGAGGCGCGAAAGCGUGGGGAGCAAACAGGAUUAGAUACCCUGGUAGUCCACGCCGUAAACGAUGAGUGCUAAGUGUUAGAGGGUUUCCGCCCUUUAGUGCUGCAGCUAACGCAUUAAGCACUCCGCCUGGGGAGUACGGUCGCAAGACUGAAACUCAAAGGAAUUGACGGGGGCCCGCACAAGCGGUGGA